UACAGAGGGGGCGAGCGUUGUUCGGAAUUACUGGGCGUAAAGGGCGCGUAGGCGGCCCGCUAAGUCGAACUUGAAAUCCCCAGGCUCAACCUGGGAACUGCGUCCGAUACUGGCAGGCUUGAAUCCGGGAGAGGGAUGUGGAAUUCCAGGUGUAGCGGUGAAAUGCGUAGAUAUCUGGAGGAACACCGGUGGCGAAGGCGGCAUCCUGGACCGGUAUUGACGCUGAGGCGCGAAAGCUAGGGGAGCAAACGGG
rnacentral:rRNA from 1 species